rnacentral:lncRNA from 1 species
GGGGGACUAUAUACUGGCAUAGAGACAUAUUCCAACUGACUUCUGCAGUGCACCUGUUCCAUGCUUUCAUACAAUACUGGACGAUGAUUUCUACAUACUGUGUUGGUUUCUACAUACUAUGUGUACAAAUCAUCGUCCAGUAUGUAGAAAUCAUCGUCCAGUAUGUAGAAAUUAACAGUUGGAAAUCAAUCUUGGAUAUUUUUUACAAGCUUGGAUUAUUAUCCAUUGUUUGAUCAAUUGAAUUACAACCAACUCUAUCAUUGUCUUUUAUAUUAGCAAAGAAUAGGAUGCCCUUUAAGGUCCCUAGAAAUAUAACCUAUUUCUAUAGAUUUCUAGAAAAAUUACAAAUUAGUGAGAUGAUAUCAAUUUUACUAUUGAGUGAUAGCAUAAGUAAUAUUAAAUUAGUAAAAAUCUAAUAAUGCAUAACAAAAUCAAACAUAUAGAGCUAGAAGAUUUCCAUAUUAGAGAAAAAUUUGAAAUUGAAAGUAUCAUACUAACUUACAAUCCCACCAAGUAUUAGUAAGCAGAUGUAUUUACUAAACAUCUUUUUAGUUCUUAAUUUAUUCUUAAUUAAAUAUUGAUUGGAUUAAUAAAAAUACCAAUUUAGAAUUUUAUUUUGUAAAAACUAUAAAUUAAAAAUAAAUAAAUAAAUAAAAAUCAAAGAUUCUAUUUACUAAAUUAACUUGUUCAAACCAAAGAAUGCUUUAUCUCUUGCAAAAUCUCAAAAUUCUUGUAUUUUAUCCUAAUAGAAUCAACUAUCUAAUUGCAACAAUCCAACUAAGAUGCAUAAAGCCUAUAGAUCUAUAUCAAAGAAUACAAACAAAAUUAGAUAUUUAGUAUACAAUUGGAAACUCAACAAAUUGAACUAAGAAUUGUAAUCUACAAUUAAAAGCUCCUGAACUAAAUCCCUAAGAUGCUCUAUAAUUUCGAUUUGUGCUAAUUGAUGAUGAACCAUCAAUAGUAGGAUAACAUGUUACACUAUGGAAGAAUAUUGCCAAAACUCCCAAACACCUCAUAGAAGUGAUGUCACUCUAAAUGCUCUACAUCACUUCAAUCACAACACUUAUCCCAUAUCAUUUCAGCUACAAUACAUUACUUUACACCAUUGCAUCAUUACACCAAUUAAAUAAAUCAAAUAUAUAUAGUUGGAUUAAAAUUAAGCCAGUAAUACAUACAACAUACUACACUAGGCAUAGUAUCAGUACAAUCGUAGCUGAGCUCUGCUCACAAAAGUGUAUUAAAUUCUGUUUUUCAAUUUACAACCAUGGCGGUUUGACGAGCAGUCAAGCUUUGCAUUACCGUUGGAACGGGGAUGACGCCCAUGGAAGCCGGAGAAUGACGCAUUUCACGUCGAUAGUGAAACAAAUUUUGAGAUGUAUGGCAGAAUGCUAGAUGACUUCUUUCACUUGCUGUGUCUUGAAGGUAACAUGAAGGAAUUGAUGUUUGAGAGCGGCGAGGCUUGGCUUGUAACAUGCGGCGAGGUUAAUCGAACGGUCACAGUCAGGUCGAGAACUUGUUUCAAGAACGACCGCUGUUUCGUCACCGCGAACAAUGAGUUCCACGCUUGAUUGACGCAAAUGUCGAGAGUCGCUAACAUGAGGGAGCCGGUUGUGAAAUCACAGUAUGUAGAAAACACAGUAUGUAGAAAUCAUCGUCCAGUAUUGUAUGAAAGCAUGGAACCAGGUGCACUGCAGAAGUCAGUUGGAAUAUGUCUCUAUGCCAGUAUAUAGUCCCCNNNNNNNNNNNNNNNNNNNNNNNNNNNNNNNNNNNNNNNNNNNNNNNNNNNNNNNNNNNNNNNNNNNNNNNNNNNNNNNNNNNNNNNNNNNNNNNNNNNNUGCAAGAGAUAAAGCAUUCUUUGGUUUGAACAAGUUAAUUUAGUAAAUAGAAUCUUUGAUUUUUAUCUAUUUAGUUAUGUAUAAUUUAUAGUUGUUACAAAAUAAAAUUCUAAAUUGGUAUUUUUAUUAAUCCAAUCAAUAGUUAAUUAAGAAUAAAUUAAGAACUAAAAAGAUGUUUAGUAAAUACAUCUGCUUACUAAUACUUGGUGGGAUUGUAAGUUAGUAUGAUACUUUCAAUUUCAAAUUUUUCUCUAAUAUGGAAAUCUUCUAGCUCUAUAUGUUUGAUUUUGUUAUGCAUUAUUAGAUUUUUACUAAUUUAAUAUUACUUAUGCUAUCACUCAAUAGUAAAAUUGAUAUCAUCUCACUAAUUUGUAAUUUUUCUAGAAAUCUAUAGAAAUAGGUUAUAUUUCUAGGGACCUUAAAGGGCAUCCUAUUCUUUGCUAAUAUAAAAGACAAUGAUAGAGUUGGUUGUAAUUCAAUUGAU